UACGUAGGGUGCGAGCGUUAAUCGGAAUUACUGGGCGUAAAGCGUGCGCAGGUGGCCGCGCAAGUCGAGUGUGAAAUCCCCGGGCUUAACUUGGGAAUUGCGCUCGAAACUACGUGGCUCGAGUGUGGCAGAGGAAGGUGGAAUUCCACGUGUAGCGGUGAAAUGCGUAGAGAUGUGGAGGAACACCGAUGGCGAAGGCAGCCUGCUGGGCCAACACUGACGCUCAUGCACGAAAGCGGGGGGAGCAAACAGG
rnacentral:rRNA from 1 species